rnacentral:rRNA from 1 species
AGCGAACGCUAGCGGCAAGCUUAACACAUGCAAGUCGAGCGAAAAACUUCGGUUUUUAGCGGCGAACGGGUGAGUAACACGUAGGUAACAUGCCCUCAGGUGGAGGAUAACUCUCGGAAACGGGAGCUAAUACUGCAUAUGGCCCUUCGGGGUUAAAGUCUUCGGACGCCAGAGGAUUGGCCUGCGGCCCAUUAUUUAAUCCUGGUUGGUGAGGUAACGGCUCACCAAGGGUACGAUGGGUAGCUGGUCUGAGAGGAUGAUCAGCCACACUGGGACUGAGACACGGCCCAGACUCCUACGGGAGGCAGCAGUGGGGGAAUAUUGGACAAUGGCGAAAGCCUGAUCCAGCUAUGCCGCGUGUGUGAAGAAGGCCCUCGGGUCGUAAAGCACUGUCGGGAGGGACGAAGACUUCGGUUUGACGGUACCUCGCAAGAAGCACCGGCUAACUCCGUGCCAGCCGCCG